rnacentral:rRNA from 1 species
CCUACGGGGGGCAGCAGUGAGGAAUAUUGGUCAAUGGGCUUACGCCUGAACCAGCCAAGUCGCGUGAGGGAAGACUGCCCUAUGGGUUGUAAACCUCUUUUGUCAGGGAGCAACGCCGGCUACGUGUAGCCGGACUGAGAGUACCUGAAGAAAAAGCAUCGGCUAACUCCGGGCCAGCAGCCGCGGUAAUACGGAGGAUGCGAGCGUUAUCCGGAUUUAUUGGGUUGAAAGGGUGCGUAGGCGGAAUGCCAAGUCAGCGGGAAAAUCGCGGGGCUCAACCUCGCUCCGCCGUUGAAACUGGCGUUCUUGAGUGGGCGAGAAGUAUGCGGAAUGCGUGGUGUAGCGGUGAAAUGCAUAGAUAUCACGCAGAACUCCGAUUGCGAAGGCAGCAUACCGGCGCCCAACUGACGCUGAAGCACGAAAGCGUGGGUAUCGAACAGGAUUAGAUACCCUAGUAGUC